rnacentral:misc_RNA from 1 species
ACAAACUUGGUCAUUUAGAGGAAGUAAAAGUCGUAACAAGGUCUCCGUUGGUGAACCAGCGGAGGGAUCAUUACAGGGUCUUACGACGCCCAAACCCAACCGUGCACUUUCUGCUUCUUGCUACGGCAGGCCGCCCGCUGGGGGGGCCUGGGCCGGGUGCUGUUUGCGCCUGGUGGCCUGCCGGAGCAGUCUUCUUAAAGAUCUCUCUGAAUACUCUCUGAGAACAAACAAACAACUUUUUACAACUCACAACAAUGGAUCUCUUGGUUCUGGCAUCGAUGAAGAACGCAGC